UAUAUCGGAACGUACCCAAGAGUGGGGAUAACGUAGCGAAAGUUACGCUAAUACCGCAUACGAUCUAAGGAUGAAAGUGGGGGACCGCAAGGCCUCACGCUCCUGGAGCGGCCGAUAUCUGAUUAGCUAGUUGGUGAGGUAAAGGCUCACCAAGGCGACGAUCAGUAGCUGGUCUGAGAGGACGACCAGCCACACUGGGACUGAGACACGGCCCAG
rnacentral:rRNA from 1 species